AAGUACGGUAUAGAUGGCCCCCACCAAAAAAUUUUUCGUCCGCACUUCAUUCGUAAAGUUUUAAUCGUCAAAAACGUGUUUCAGUUUUGCCGACCAACUUUUUUUUCGUGGACUAUUUUUCUUUUUUCUUCUAAGAAAAAUGAGAAACUACGUUAGAAAAACUGACAGAGUAAUGGUCCCGUCUGAUGUAAUUGACAGAGCAGUUGCAAAGGUGUUGGACGAGGGAAAAUCAGUUUAUAUUGUGGCUAUUCUUUUUAACAUUCCAAGAAGAAGUCUUACAAGAUUUGUUGAAAACAAGAAGAAGUCAGGUUUAGAAGAACAAAACAGGCCUAAUAGUGUUUCUCCAACCCAUCAUGGGUAUUCAUCUGCGCGCCAGGUUUUAAACAAGGAAGAUGAGGCUCUGCUAGCUGAUUACCUUCAUCGUUCAGCAGAUAUUUACUUUGGAUUGUCCCCAAUUGAUGUUAGAAAGCUGGCUUAUAAUGUUGCCACAAAGAGAAAUCUAAAAAUCCCACCUUCGUGGACUGAAAAACUUUCAGCUGGACCAGACUGGUUUGCAUCAUCCAUGAAACGCCAUCCUACUCUGGCAAUAAGAAAACCUGAGGCUACUUCCCUGGCAAGAACCUCAUCAUUUAACAUCCACAAUUGUGAUUUGUUCUUUGACAAUUGUCAAAGAUUGUUGGUGAGAGAAAAAAUUGGGCUUGAAUGCGUCUGGAACAUGGACGAAGUUGGUGUUACUACAGUUUCAACACCUGAAAAGAUCGUAGGUCGAAAAGGCCAGAAACAAAUAGGAUCAAUUGUUUCAGGAGAGAGAGGGGUGUUGGUUACGGUUUGUUGUGUAGUUUCCAGCUACGCAAUACUAUUCCACCCUUCUUUGUCUUUCCCCGAGUAAAUUUCAAGCUAAGACGGCUCUGUAGUAGGCCCUAUGUCGAAUGUAAGGCCAACUUGCCCCAACUCAAAGGGCAACUUGCCCCGGCGGUGGGAUAAGUUGGCCACUGAAAGUGUCGCAAUAAAACAGUUGUUUUGGCCUGUGAGGGACCGGUGUGUGAAAAGUGAGCCAACUAACCCCGGUCUCCCCUAGAUUUGGAAGUGUAAAGAAAUAACUCUUAUUAUCCUCAACAAUUCUACUG